UCCCAGACUCCUACGGGAGGCAGCAGUGGGGAAUAUUGCACAAUGGGGGAAACCCUGAUGCAGCGACGCCGCGUGAGCGAUGAAGUAUUUCGGUAUGUAAAGCUCUAUCAGCAGGGAAGAAAAUGACGGUACCUGACUAAGAAGCCCCGGCUAACUACGUGCCAGCAGCCGCGGUAAUACGUAGGGGGCAAGCGUUAUCCGGAUUUACUGGGUGUAAAGGGAGCGUAGACGGCUGUGCAAGCCAGAUGUGAAAGCCCGGGGCUCAACCCCGGGACUGCAUUUGGAACUGUGUGGCUGGAGUGUCGGAGAGGCAGGCGGAAUUCCUAGUGUAGCGGUGAAAUGCGUAGAUAUUAGGAGGAACACCAGUGGCGAAGGCGGCCUGCUGGACGAUGACUGACGUUGAGGCUCGAAAGCGUGGGGAACAAACAGGAUUAGAUACCCCCGUA
rnacentral:rRNA from 1 species